CAGAACUGUUAGCCUUGGGGAGCAGAGUGACAACCAGUGAGAGGCAAGUAGCAGAGCUGGAGAAAGAGAAUGCAGCCCUGGAGGCAAGAUUGAGUGUCACUGAGAGCCAGGUGGAGGAACUGAGGCUAGACAGAAGAAAGGUGGCCUUUUCUGUUGGUUUGACUGACUCAGGAUAUGUGGGACCCUUUCAAACUGAGAUCACUCUGGUCUAUGAAAAAGUCUUCACCAACAUCGACAACGGUUACGAC